CCUGUUCGAGCGUCAUUACAACCCUCAAGCCCUGCUUGGUAUUAGAUGUAAUUUGCAAAUUCAUCUUAAAAUUAGUGGUGGUAGCACCUAGCUUCCAGCGUAGUAAAAAAAUUUCGCUGUUGAUAAUAGGAUAUUAAUGCCAGAAUAACCCAAAAUCAAAGGUUGACCUCGGAUCAGGUAGGGAUACCCGCUGAACUUAA
rnacentral:misc_RNA from 1 species